rnacentral:rRNA from 1 species
UACGUAGGGUGCGAGCGUUGUCCGGAAUUAUUGGGCGUAAAGGGCUCGUAGGCGGUUUGUCGCGUCGGGAGUGAAAACCCAGGGCUUAACCCUGGGCUGGCUUCCGAUACGGGCAGACUAGAGGUAUGCAGGGGAGAACGGAAUUCCUGGUGUAGCGGUGAAAUGCGUAGAGAUCGGGAGGAACACCAGAGGCGAAAGCGGCGACCUGGACAGGUACUGACACUCAACUACGAAAGCGUGGGGAGCAAACAGG